rnacentral:tRNA from 1 species
GGCUGGAUAGCUCAGUGGUUAAAGCUACUGGUAAUUAUCCAGGAGGUCCUGGGUUCAAACUCCAGUCUGGUCA